rnacentral:lncRNA from 1 species
UUGCAAAGACCCGGCCCAAAUCUUCAUCACGUCUUUGUACCGUCCCUAUAACUUACAUAUUUAUGGAAAAAAAAAAUAGCAAGAAAUGGAAGAUAAGAGAAAUUACUGAGGCAAAGAAAUGGUGCUAACGAAUUUUAAUGGAGCAGGCGUCGGUUUUGGUAAGUUUUUCCUCUGGAAAUCAACAAAUGCAUUAGUAUUCGACAAUUUGUUGAUGUAUUUGGGUUUGUAUUUUUCUGGGUUUUUGAAUUUCUUUUUGGCUAAUAAUUGUUGCGUUUUGCUUCCUUUUUUUCUUCUCUGGGUUUAACGUUAUGGAAAACAUUUUAUAGGUUUUGGCGUUGGCUGUGGUUUUGGUGUUGGAUGGGGCUUCGGAGGUCAGCUUCUUUAAUUUUCUCUAUUAUCGUUAGAAAAUUUUCUGAUUAUAAUUUUUUAUUUUUUUAUUUUUUUGCUGAAGUUUAAUUGGAAUCUUAAAAUUGUGGAAUUUGAUUACUUGUUACCUUACAUAUCCUUUAAGAGUUUGAUUUCCAGUAAUAUAAUUUGACGUUUGAUCGAAUUGUAGUGAAGAUACUUAAGGAUGAAAAUGUCAUCCUUGUAUUUCUAAAAUGAGUGAAGCCCAAGACAGCCAAGAAUAGUUGCGAGCAUGUAACAUAAAAGCGUUAAAUUCCUGGGUUCCUUGUGAAGAAAAAAAAUUUCAAAUUAGGCUCGG